AAAGAAGUACCUCAAACGUGAUGACAAAGAUUCAGUUAAGGCUGGAAAUAGAAAUGAUGUUCGUGUUUUGAUGAGAGUGACGAUGAAAAUCACCGACAGUUGUAAGAGUUUUGAUGAGAGAGUGAUAAUGAAAUCUCCUAGGGUUUUUGCGCAGAGAAUGACGAUGAAGUUAAGCAUUGAUAGGUAAACGAAAAGUUAGAGACUAGUUCUUUGAAGUAUUUUAUGCAAAAUAUUCUCAUGUCGGUUCUUAGGAAAAAUCGAC
rnacentral:lncRNA from 1 species